GAUGAACGCUGGCGGCGUGCCUAAUACAUGCAAGUCGAGCGAACGGACGAGAAGCUUGCUUCUCUGAUGUUAGCGGCGGACGGGUGAGUAACACGUGGAUAACCUACCUAUAAGACUGGGAUAACUUCGGGAAACCGUAGCUAAUACCGGAUAAUAUUUUGAACCGCAUGGUUCAAAAGUGAAAGACGGUCUUGCUGUCACUUAUAGAUGGAUCCGCGCUGCAUUAGCUAGUUGGUAAGGUAACGGCUUACCAAGGCAACGAUGCAUAGCCGACCUGAGAGGGUGAUCGGCCACACUGGAACUGAGACACGGUCCAGACUCAUACGGGAGGCAGCAGUAGGGAAUCUGCCGCAAAGGGCGAAAGCCUGACGGAGCAACGCCGCGUGAGUGAUGAAGGUCUUCGGAUCGUAAAACUCUGUUAUUAGGGAAGAACAUAUGUGUAAGUAACUGUGCACAUCUUGACGGUACCUAAUCAGAAAGCCACGGCUAACUACGUG
rnacentral:rRNA from 1 species